AUAGCAUAUCAAUAAGCGGAGGAAAAGAAACUAACAAGGAUUCCCCUAGUAACUGCGAGUGAAGCGGGAAAAGCUCAAAUUUAAAAUCUGGCGGUCUUUGGCCGUCCGAGUUGUAGUCUGGAGAAGCGUCUUCCGCGCUGGACCGUGUAUAAGUCUCUUGGAACAGAGCGUCAUAGAGGGUGAGAAUCCCGUCUUUGACACGGACUACCAGUGCUUUGUGAUGCGCUCUCAAAGAGUCGAGUUGUUUGGGAAUGCAGCUCAAAAUGGGUGGUGAAUUCCAUCUAAAGCUAAAUAUUGGCGAGAGACCGAUAGCGAACAAGUACCGUGAGGGAAAGAUGAAAAGCACUUUGGAAAGAGAGUUAAACAGUACGUGAAAUUGCUGAAAGGGAAACGCUUGAAGUCAGUCGCGUUGUCCGGGACUCAGCCUUGCUUCGGCUUGGUGCACUUUCCGGAUGACGGGCCAGCAUCGAUUUUGACCGCCGGAAAAGGGCUGGAGGAAUGUGGCACCUUCGGGUGUGUUAUAGCCUCCAGUCGCAUACGGCGGUUGGGAUCGAGGAACGCAGCACGCCUUAUGGCGGGGGGUUUACCCUACCUUCGUGCUUAGGAUGCUGGCAUAAUGGCUUUAAACGACCCGUCUUGAAACACGGACCAAGGAGUCUAACAUGCCUGCGAGUGUUUGGGUGGAAAACCCGAGCGCGUAAUGAAAGUGAAAGUUGAGACCUCUGUCGUGGAGGGCAUCGACGCCCGGACCUGACGUUCUCUGACGGAUCCGCGGUAGAGCAUGUAUGUUGGGACCCGAAAGAUGGUGAACUAUGCCUGAAUACGGUGAAGCCAGAGGAAACUCUGGUGGAGCUCGUAGCGAUUCUGACGUGCAAUCGAUCGUCAAUUUGGUAUAGGGCGAAGACUAAUCGAACCAUCUAGUAGCUGGUCUGCGGCUUUUCUCUCCCGCGCUGGUGA
rnacentral:rRNA from 1 species